rnacentral:rRNA from 1 species
CGGUGGAGCAUGUGGUUUAAUUCGACGCAACGCGAAGAACCUUACCUGGCCUUGACAUGCAGAGAACUUUCCAGAGAUGGAUUGGUGCCUUCGGGAACUCUGACACAGGUGCUGCAUGGCCGUCGUCAGCUCGUGUCGUGAGAUGUUGGGUUAAGUCCCGUAACGAGCGCAACCCCUAUCCCUAGUUGCUAGCAGUUCGGCUGAGAACUCUAGGGAGACUGCCGGUGACAAACCGGAGGAAGGUGGGGAUGACGUCAGGUCAUCAUGGCCCUUACGGCCAGGGCUACACACGUGCUACAAUGGCGCGCACAGAGGGCUGCAAACCCGCGAGGGGGAGCUAAUCUCACAAAACGCGUCGUAGUCCGGAUCGGAGUCUGCAACUCGACUCCGUGAAGUCGGAAUCGCUAGUAAUCGUGAAUCAGAAUGUCACGGUGAAUACGUUCCCGGGCCUUGUACACACCGCCCGUCACACCAUGGGAGUGGAUUGCACCAGAAGUGGUUAGUCUAACCUUCGGGAGGACGAUCACCACGGUGUGGUUCAUGACUGGGGUGAAGUCGUAACAAGGUAACCGUAAUCGAAUCCCGCGGCCGCCUGGCGGCCGGAGGUGCAGGUUGAAGAUAUUUUAAACGGG